rnacentral:tmRNA from 1 species
GGGGGUGAACGGUUUCGACUUCGGUGGUUGAUCCAGGGGAAGCGAGCCGAGGACCGCGGUUGUGACCUCGAUAAUCCUGCGACCGCAAACCAACAAGUGCCAACUCUAAGCGCACUGCCUCCGCUUUCGCCCUCGCGGCCUAAGCGAUAAGAGGCUGUCAGCCCGGGACUGCCUUCGGCCCGGGUCCUGGCAUCAGCUAGAAGGCUUCACUAGCCGGACCGGCCACGGGGCCGGCUAGGACAUCAAACAGUGGCUGAGCCCGUCGGCAACUUGCCUGCGUGAUUGCCGGGGCUGAGAAAAGCACAGCGGGCUGCGCUCGGAGAAGCCCUGGUGAUGUACUGAAGGACGCGGGUUCGAUUCCCGCCACCUCCAA